UUCCUGGUAGCUCAGCGGUAAAGUAUCUGCCUGCAAUGCAGAAGAUGCAGGAGACCCAGGUUCAAUCCCUGGGUUGGGAA
rfam:TPA: Bos taurus chromosome 13, whole genome shotgun sequence.